rnacentral:rRNA from 1 species
AAAAUUGAACAAUGGGGGGAACCCUGAUCCAGCAAUGCCGCGUGUGUGAGAAAGGCCUUUUGGUUGUAAAGCACUUAAACCGAGGAGGGGGAGCUCUUGGUUAAUACCAAGGAUGCUUGGACUUUCCUGCCAGAAUAAGCACCGGCUACUCCUGUGCCAGCAGCCGCGGUAAUACAGAGGGUGCAAGCGUUAAUCGGAUUUACUGGGCGUAAAGCGCGCGUAGGUGGCCAAUUAAGUCAAAUGUGAAAUCCCCGAGCUUAACUUGGGAAUUGCAUUCGAUACUGGUUGGCUAGAGUAUGGGAGAGGAUGGUAGAAUUCCAGGUGUAGCGGUGAAAUGCGUAGAGAUCUGGAGGAAUACCGAUGGCGAAGGCAGCCAUCUGGCCUAAUACUGACACUGAGGUGCGAAAGCAUGGGGAGCAAACAG